UACGGAGGAUGCAAGCGUUAUCCGGAACGAUUGGGCGUAAAGCGUCCGCAGGUGGCUAUGUAAGUCUGCUGUUAAAGAGUGAGGCUCAACCUCAUAAGAGCAGUGGAAACUACAUGGCUAGAGUGCGUUCGGGGCAGAGGGAAUUCCUGGUGUAGCGGUGAAAUGCGUAGAGAUCAGGAAGAACACCGGUGGCGAAAGCGCUCUGCUAGGCCGCAACUGACACUGAGGGACGAAAGCUAGGGGAGCGAAUGGG
rnacentral:rRNA from 1 species